GAAAUGCGAUAAGUAAUGUGAAUUGCAGAAUUCAGUGAAUCAUCGAAUCUUUGAACGCACAUUGCGCCCGCCAGUAUUCUGGCGGGCAUGCCUGUUCGAGCGUCAUUACAACCCUCAGGCCCCCGGGCCUGGCGUUGGGGAUCGGCGGAAGCCCCCUGCGGGCACAACGCCGUCCCCCAAAUACAGUGGCGGUCCCGCCGCAGCUUCCAUUGCGUAGUAGCUAACACCUCGCAACUGGAGAGCGGCGCGGCCACGCCGUAAAACACCCAACUUCUGAAUGUGGACCUCGAAUCAGGUAGGAAUACCCGCUGAACUUAAGC
rnacentral:misc_RNA from 1 species